UACAGAGGUGGCGAGCGUUGUUCGGAUUUACUGGGCGUAAAGGGCGCGUAGGCGGCUUCGUAUGUCGGACGUGAAAUCUCACUGCCUAACGGUGAAAUUGCGUUCGAAACUGCGGAGCUAGAGUGCAGGAUAGGAGAGCGGAAUUCUUGGUGUAGCAGUGAAAUGCGUUGAUAUCAAGAGGAACACCGGUGGCGAAGGCGGCUCUCUGGAAUGCAACUGACGCUGAGGCACGAAAGUUGGGGGAG
rnacentral:rRNA from 1 species